GACGUAGGGUGCGAGCGUUGUCCGGAUUUAUUGGGCGUAAAGAGCUCGUAGGCGGCUCGUCGCGUCGACCGUGAAAACCCGCGGCUUAACUGCGGGCUUGCGGUUGAUACGGGCGGGCUAGAGUUCGGUAGGGGAGACUGGAAUUCCUGGUGUAGCGGUGAAAUGCGUAGAUAUCUGGAGGAACACCGGUGGCGAAGGCGGCUUUCUGGGCCUUACCUGACGCUGAGACGCGAAAGCGUGGGGAGCGAACCGG
rnacentral:rRNA from 1 species